AUUGAACGCUAGCGGGAUGCUUUACACAUGCAAGUCGAACGGCAGCACGGACUUCGGUCUGGUGGCGAGUGGCGAACGGGUGAGUAAUGUAUCGGAACGUGCCCAGUAGCGGGGGAUAACUACUCGAAAGAGUGGCUAAUACCGCAUAUGCCCUAAGGGGGAAAGCAGGGGAUCUUCGGACCUUGCACUAUUGGAGCGGCCGAUAUCGGAUUAGCUAGUUGGUGGGGUAAAGG
rnacentral:rRNA from 1 species